rnacentral:rRNA from 1 species
UACAGAGGGUGCAAGCGUUAUCCGGAAUGAUUGGGCGUAAAGCGUCUGUAGGUGGCUUUUUAAGUCCGCCGUCAAAUCCCAGGGCUCAACUCUGGACAGGCGGUGGAAACUACCAAGCUGGAGUACGGUAGGGGCAGAGGGAAUUUCCGGUGGAGCGGUGAAAUGCGCAGAUAUCGGGAGGAACACCAAUGGCGAAGGCAGCUCGCUGGGACGGUACUGACGCUGAGACGCGAAAGCGUGGGGAGCAAACAGG